UCGAGCGCGUGAAUCAACAUGAUCCCUUCGGGGUGAUUGUUGUGGAUCGAGCGGCGGACGGGUGAGUAACACGUGGGCAACCUACCCAUGAGAUCGGGAUAACUCCGGGAAACCGGAGCUAAUACCGAAUAACCCAGUGAACUGCAUGGUUCACUGGUAAAAGGCGGUUUCGGCCGUCACUCAUGGAUGGGCCCGCGGCGCAUUAGCUAGUUGGUAAGGUAACGGCUUACCAAGGCAACGAUGCGUAGCCGACCUGAGAGGGUGAUCGGCCACACUGGGACUGAGACACGGCCCAGACUCCUACGGGAGGCAGCAGUAGGGAAUCUUCCGCAAUGGACGAAAGUCUGACGGAGCAACGCCGCGUGAACGAUGAAGGUCUUCGGAUCGUAAAGUUCUGUUGUUAGGGAAGAACAAGUACCAGAAGAAAUGCUGGUACCCUUGACGGUACCUAACCAGAAAGCCACGGUNAACUACCUGNCACCAGCCCCGGUAAUACCNUAAGU
rnacentral:rRNA from 1 species